CUCUGCAGUUACUGUGAGAGUUGUGACAGUGCAUCCUUCUCUUCCAGAAUCACUAUGAUCCAAUUCAAUAGAGGUGAAUGGCGGAUUUGAACUCUUGUAUCGUGUAUUAAUGCGAAAAUGCAAUGCAGAUAGAAAUAUUCUCUUCAUCAAAACAUUACGCAAGUCACCAUAUGUUCGGACCUUGCUCACUGGAAUAUAUUAAUUGAGAAAUUCUGAAGCAACUCAUGCUGAAAAAUCUGUGGUGGCUUCAUAUGUACAUUGUGUCCAGGGAGAGACCAAUUAUGCUGCACUGGGGGACGAACUGCAUGCCUUUCCUUUUUCAGUAUUUUAGAUUGAUCUAUAGAACUAGAUGAUUUUUCAGGAGAUGAACUUCCAGAGAGCCCAACUGAGAGCUUAGGGACAAGAAAACUAGCCAUUGCACCAAAUGCACUAGGAGUAGGUGCAGAAGUUGUCUCAUUCUCAAGACCAG
rnacentral:misc_RNA from 1 species